rnacentral:lncRNA from 1 species
UGCAUUCCUCUAAUUGUUAAUGCUUUAUAAUUUUUUUCACGUGGGUGACAGCUUGGUUUUCUUCUUUUGAAAAUUGUCAAUUGAUAUCCUUAAAUCAUUUCUCAGUCUUUUUUUAUUUUUCCUUUGCCUUCUUUUGUGUGAGAGAUGAAGUAUGGAGGUGACAGGGGACAUGCACUGACCAGAAAGAAUAUAUUUUCCCAUAAUGUCUUGGACUUAAGAUGCAUGUCCUAAAACAAGGAGCAGUGAUUAUAGAAGGAAGAGGAUGGCUUCUGAGAGAAGGAGAUCUCCUUUGCUCCCAAUGAAGGGAUUGGCAUCUCCAACCUUGGGAAUUUUGAUCAAGAAAACAACUCCAGAAACCCAGGAGUCAAAAUGUAAGCUGGUUUUCUCACAUAGCACAGCAUGGACUCCCCAAGGAUCAAGGAGCAAUCUUCUGGAGUGACUUCAGGAUUCUAGCCCAGAGGAAGGGUUCAUCCAUCUGUUGUGCCACAUCUGGACUUGAAUUUGGGGAGACUGAUACUAGAUAGGAACUGAGCUAAGUUUUGAGCCUACAUUUCCAGACACUGAGAUGUUUAAGGAAAUGUAUGACCCCAAAGAGUUGGAGGAGAACAAAUGUUUGUAUACUUGUUUUUGUUCUAUCAUUGAAGCAAAUUGCUCUCUAUAAAAGCUAACCCCAUGCUAAGUGGAAUGGGAUUACUAGUCAUUUUUGAUAAACGAGGAAAACACAGACGGUGGGUGACGAGGCCCAUGGUAUUAGGGAAAAGAGAUGCCUCCAAGCCCUCAGGGUACCCUAAAACUGUGCCUAGAUGAUGUAUCACCCUGGCCCUUAGAUAGUGGGGCUAGACUGUAUGUGUUACCACAAAACCAAGAUCAAGAAUAGCAUGACAAUUUUGCUCCACUUGAUAGUGAAUGUGCCCUGCAAUUACUUCCUACAACUAGUUGGAUGUAGAAUUUUGAAGAUGAUCUGAUAUGAUAUGCCACUGUUAGUGAGGUGCAUAUUCUUAAAGCAAAAUAAUAUUUUUGUGAAUGUUAAAAGUUUCAUAAUAUCUGUAAUGUUUAUGAUUCAGGUAAGUGCAAUAAAAUAGGCUAGAUCAUAAAACCCCA